UGUUGAAGGUUUGGAAUGUGAGCUUCCAUUUGAGUUUCAGGUUCUGGAGAUCGCAUUACAGCUUCUCUGUAUGCAUUUUGACUCCUGUGUAGCAGACCUGGAGAGAGAUGCUUAUCCCUCAUUGGAUGAGCUGGUAAAGAAUGUCAACACCAAUAAUCUUGAACGUGUGCGGAGUUUGAAAUCCAAUCUGACUCGUAUGCUUGCACGUGUUCAAAAGGUGAGGGAUGAAAUUGAA
rnacentral:misc_RNA from 1 species